UGAGGUUCUCCAAUUGGAGAUUAAAAGGGAAUCAGGUGAGAGUCCUGAACAGUCCCGCUGCUGUAAGUUUCCUCAUAAUGAGUAUCGUUUCAUAGAAAUUAUGCCACUGGUUUUUAUUAUUUCGCUCACGAAUAGCGACUACAUCAUUACCGGGAAGGCUUGAAACGAUGGAAACGAGUCAGAAGACCUGCCUCUGCAUG
rnacentral:ncRNA from 1 species